GACGAACGCGGCGGCGUGCCUAAUACAUGCAAGUGGGACGCAAGGAAACACACUGUGCUUGCACACCGUGUUUUCUUGAGUCGCGAACGGGUGAGUAACGCGUAGGUAACCUGCCUAUUAGCGGGGGAUAACUAUUGGAAACGAUAGCUAAUACCGCAUAAUAUUAAUUAUUGCAUGAUAAUUGAUUGAAAGAUGCAAGCGCAUCACUAGUAGAUGGACCUGCGUUGUAUUAGCUAGUUGGUAAGGUAAGAGCUUACCAAGGCGACGAUACAUAGCCGACCUGAGAGGGUGAUCGGCCACACUGGGACUGAGACACGGCCCAGACUCCUACGGGAGGCAGCAGUAGGGAAUCUUCGGCAAUGGACGAAAGUCUGACCGAGCAACGCCGCGUGAGUGAAGAAGGUUUUCGGAUCGUAAAGCUCUGUUGUAAGUCAAGAACGUGUGUGAGAGUGGAAAGUUCACACAGUGACGG
rnacentral:rRNA from 1 species